CUCCUGGCCUGAGCGAGGCUCUUGAGAAUUUGUCCCAGGAUCUCUGCUGGAGCUCUGGGAAAGAGGUGAGCCAUUUCUGCUAAGGCUGCUGAGUUGGUAGAACACUUCCAGGCAGCUUCUGGCAGCAAAAACAACUGGCCUGAGAGUGAAACCAAUUCACAGGAAAGGCAAUCCAAGAGAUGGCCAGAGGCUGCAUCCUCAUCACAUUGCAUGGCGCCUGGUACACCAAGUUACUCAACAGAUAUGUGACUGAAUUACCGGUGACAAUCUAUUUACACUUACUAGAAUUACUGAUACUUGAUUGCAUUUCUUCAUCAUUUAUGUGCUUGCUUUCUACAUUGGGUCAUCUUUUCUAUGUCUGUUUCUUACCUUUCUUCUUUUUUGACUGAGUCCCUCACACCAUUUCCUUCUCUCUACUAGUUUUUAAGUUUUACUAAACAUUUUAAUAUGCAUACUUAUAAACUAUCUUUAGCGUUCUCUGAACAAUAUGGGAAACUUAAAAUAGUAACUAGAAUCAUCUCACUUCUCCAUCUCUAGUCUCUAUGAUUAAGAGGUCUUUUCUCUACAAAGAAAUAUUAUAAACUACCAAGUCCCUAGGGACCUAUGCCACAUGUAGAAGAGCUUCAUUCGAUAUUUCCAGUAGCUUCCACUUCUUGGAUGCUUUGAGGCUCACAUACUAUGCCAAGUGCUUUAUGGAUCUCUCUGCUCAUCCUGACAAAAGCCUCCUGAUGAAAGUAGUCUUCACUCUACAUAUGAAGAAACAAAAGCUCUAGAAAAUUAAACGUAUUAUUCAAGGUCAGGCUAUUAGCUAAUGGCAGAGUUGGGCUUUAAGCCCAAGCCUUUCUGGCUCCCAGGUCUGUGCUUCUAGCACUAAACUAGAUUAACAAGAGAAAUCACCACUACAGUGUGCAUUCAUUUGUUCUGAAUAUGCAUUUAGCACCUUUUAUGUGCUAAGUAGGUCUAGAAGUUAUACCAAUGGACAAAACAUAUGGGCUGCCUGCCCAUACGCCAUGGAUAGAGGUGUCAAUCUUGGGUUCGGUUUCCCAUGACCUUCAGGAAGAUAAUUUACAUAAAUAUCAACUUCUUUAAUGAUUAGAACAUUGAUUUCUAUUGAAUUCUAUUUGCCCAGGUUAACUUUAAAAUAGAGAGAU
rnacentral:lncRNA from 1 species